rnacentral:rRNA from 1 species
UACCAGCACCCCGAGUGGUCGGGACGAUUAUUGGGCCUAAAGCAUCCGUAGCCGGCCUUACAAGUCCUCCGUUAAAUCCAGCUGCUUAACAGAUGGGCUGCGGAGGAUACUAUAAGACUAGGAGGCAGGAGAGGCAAGCGGUACUCAGUGGGUAGGGGUAAAAAUCCGUUGAUCCAUUGAAGACCACCAGUGGCGAAGGCGGCUUGCCAGAAUGCGCUCGACGGUGAGGGAUGAAA